rnacentral:rRNA from 1 species
GCAACCCGACUUCGUGAAGCUGGAUUCGCUAGUAAUCGCGCAUCAGCCACGGCGCGGUGAAUACGUUCCCGGGCCUUGCACACACCGCCCGUCAAGCCAUGGGAGCCGGGGGUACCUGAAGUACGUAACCGCAAGGAGCGUCCUAGGGUAAAAACUGGUGACUGGGGCUAAGUCGUAACAAGGUAGC